AGAGUUUGAUCCUGGCUCAGGAUGAACGCUAGCGGCAGGCUUAACACAUGCAAGUCGAGGGGUAGAAGUCUUCGGACUUUGAGACCGGCGCACGGGUGCGUAACGCGUAUGCAAUCUACCUUUUACAGGGGAAUAGCCCAGAGAAAUUUGGAUUAAUGCCCCAUGGUAUUAUAGAGUGGCAUCAUUUUAUAAUUAAAGUUCCAACGGUAAAAGAUGAGCAUGCGUCCCAUUAGUUAGUUGGUAAGGUAACGGCUUACCAAGACAAUGAUGGGUAGGGGUCCUGAGAGGGAGAUCCCCCACACUGGUACUGAGACACGGACCAGACUCCUACGGGAGGCAGCAGUGAGGAAUAUUGGACAAUGGGCGCAAGCCUGAUCCAGCCAUGCCGCGUGCAGGAAGACGGUCCUAUGGAUUGUAAACUGCUUUUGUACAGGAAGAAACACUCCCUCGUGAGGGAGCUUGACGGUACUGUAGGAAUAAGGAUCGGCUAACUCCGUGCCAGCAGCCGCGGUAAUACGGAGGAUCCAAGCGUUAUCCGGAAUCAUUGGGUUUAAAGGGUCCGUAGGCGGUUUAAUAAGUCAGUGGUGAAAUCUGGUCGCUCAACGAUCAAACGGCCAUUGAUACUGUUAAACUUGAAUUAUUAGGAAGUAACUAGAAUAUGUAGUGUAGCGGUGAAAUGCUUAGAUAUUACAUGGAAUACCAAUUGCGAAGGCAGGUUACUACUAAUGGAUUGACGCUGAUGGACGAAAGCGUGGGGAGCGAACAGGAUUAGAUACCCUGGUAGUCCACGCCGUAAACGAUGGAUACUAGCUGUUGGACCGCAAGUUCCAGUGGCUAAGCGAAAGUGAUAAGUUCCCCC
rnacentral:rRNA from 1 species